rnacentral:rRNA from 2 species
UCGAGAAUUUUUCUCAAUGGGGGAAACCCUGAAGGAGCGACGCCGCGUGGAGGAUGAAGGUUUUCGGAUUGUAAACUCCUGUCAUUCGGGAACAAUUGCACGGGUUUAACUGGCCUGUGCUUGAUAGUACCGGAAGAGGAAGAGACGGCUAACUCUGUGCCAGCAGCCGCGGUAAUACAGAGGUCUCAAGCGUUGUUCGGAUUCAUUGGGCGUAAAGGGUGCGUAGGUUGCAAGGUAAGUUGGAUGUGAAAUCCCGGGGCUUAACCCCGGAACUGCAUUCAAUACUGCUUUGCUAGAGUACUGGAGAGGAGAUUGGAAUUCACGGUGUAGCAGUGAAAUGCGUAGAUAUCGUGAGGAAGACCAGUGGCGAAGGCGAAUCUCUGGACAGUUACUGACACUGAGGCACGAAGGCCAGGGGAGCAAACGGG